rnacentral:rRNA from 1 species
GUAGUCCACGCUGUAAACGAUAAUCACUAGACGUCAGCUGAGCGUAGCUUAGUUGGUGUCGAAGCUAACGCGUUAAGUGAUUCGCCUGGGGAGUACGGUCGCAAGACUAAAACUUAAAGGAAUUGACGGGGGUCCGCACAAGCGGUGGAACAUGUGGUUUAAUUCGACAAUACGCGAGGAACCUUACCUGGACUUGACAUGCUUUUGAUCGCCGUAGAGAUACGGUUUUCUAGAUUUCGGUUUAGACAGAUGCACAGGUGCUGCAUGGCUGUCGUCAGCUCGUGUCGUGAGAUGUUGGGUUAAGUCCUUUAACGAGCGCAACCCCUACCGUCAGUUGCUACUCAUCUUCGGAUGAGGCACUCUGAUGGGACUGCCUGGGAAACCAGGAGGAAGGUGGGGAUGACGUCAAGUCAUCAUGGUCCUUAUGUCCAGGGCUACACACGUGUUACAAUGGUCGGUACAAAGGGACGCCAAACCGUAAGGUGGAGCAAAUCCCAGAAAGCCGAUCUAAGUUCGGAUUGAGGUCUGCAACUCGACCUCAUGAAGUUGAAAUCGCUAGUAAUCGCAUAUCAGCAACGAUGCGGUGAAUACGUUCUCGGACCUUGUACACACCGCCCGUCACACCACGAAAGCUGUUUGUACCCGAAGCUAUUUUAGCCAACCUGAAAAGGAGGCGGAUGGUUAAGGUGUGGAUAGUGAUUGGGGUG